GCUUAAUCUCUCGUUCCACACUCCAGUCCAGUGCAGCUUCUAAGUGCAGCUAGCUAACCUGAGCAACACUUCACUGGCUAAGUUACCAUAAAGUUAACGUUACUCACUGUCUGUUUGCCAACAUUUACUUUAAAUGUCAAGUUAUAAGUGUAAGUUGAUUCGUUGGCAUAACGAGUUCAUAUGUUUUUCUGUUGAAGAGCUGACAUAUGAAACCAUCGGAGACUGACUUUAAUGAGCGAGCAAGCCAGUUAUCCACAAAGGAUCCAAAUAUCAACGAGCAGCACCAGGCUCAUGUCUCCUCAAGACCUGGUCUCAUCUGGGGCCUAUGACCUGGUCUGCUUCUGACAGUGGAGUGUCCUCAACAAAAACAACCUCAGUGACCCUCUCCCACUAGAUAAUCUAUAUAAGGGUGGUGACAGGAAGCCCAUGUUCAUUUCCAGCCUGCCGCUGUUUGCAAAGGCCGAAGGUCACCUUAGCCCAUUAACUGUCACUGCUGUGACCCUGCAGUCACUUUACGCUGCCCCGGCACAGAAAACCCUUCCUGUCACACAUUUCACAUUUUACAGUGACUUUAUCAGUUUAAAUUGCAUUACAUACAUUGAUGAUACAUACAGUACACUGCCAGAUAGUUUGUUCUUUAUGUUUUGAUACAGUAUAUUUUAGCAGUUUUUGAUAUACGCUAAGUAUUACACCCUAAUUUUAGAAACUAUUACAAUUAAUUUACAACCACAGAAAGCUCAAGAGUUACAAGAUUAAAAAGGUUUUAAUCGGCAUCGAUUUCCUUCAAAAGCCAGCUGCUCUUCAGACUUACUUUAAGUUUCACCAACUUUCCAACAACAGACAAGUUUCUCGCAACCACACCGUCAUUUUCUAGGCAGACUGAGGACAAGCUGGUGGUUUUCCAUUUGUUUCCUGGCACUGUCAGUAUCAUUGUUUGUGAAUGUGUGUCAGAGAGAGAGAGAGACAUUGUACAUACAGUGACCCACUGACCUAGUCAGAGUGGCUGUGAGCCAUGUGCUCCAUCAUGAAAUAUUCUCCCAUGGGCUUCUGAUGAUAGCAUGAACAAGAAAACUUCUGAAAUGGGUAAGAAGCAUGUUUCUUGCACAAACUAUCAUAAUCAUAACUUUUUAAAAUGAGUUUUAUCUAUUUAAUUAUUUAUUAAUGUUACUGUUUCCCUUUUAACACGUUGUGCUGAUUUUCUGUGUCCCUAAGUAUGUGUACUGCCACACCUUUUUCUUAUGUGAACAACACUUCUUACCCAUUUAACCCUUUAACAUAAAAUUUUAGGUUUUUCUUAAGUUGCUUUAAAAACAUUUUUAAAUCCUGCACUGUAUCUGUUUGUUACAACUCUGAGAGAAAUAUUUAACCCAUCAAACUCCAUGUUUUUAAUGGUGGCAUCAUUUCAUAAAAUGGAUAUAUCCCAGAUCUAGAUAAUUUACACAUUUUUAUAAAAUUCAGCUUAAAAUAUUUGGCUAUAUGGAAAGUGUGGAAGCUCUUGUCAGUGCUCUAAAGUUGGACCCACCUGUCGGCAGGGAUGGCCAGUAUUAAGGCUAUAUGUAUUUAAAAUACCCUACAAAAUAGGAUUUUGUCAUUUGUAUUUGAUAUGAUUAAUGAAAAUUGCAUCAUAUUUUGUAUCAAAACACUUAAUACAGUAAUAACAGUGUUUUGUAGUUUAAAAAUACUGUAAACUACUUUGUGAAAAGUAUAUGUGAUGAUUAAAAAGGCUACCUCUGAUUGGUGCCAACUCAGUUUUUUGCCCAGACUUGUUGAGAUCAGAACAGAAAAUUGAUCCAGAUCUGAAGAAGGUCAUGAUGAGAAACGUAUAGGUGUGUAGCUUUCCAUCGAUUAUUAUUAUUUUUUUAACAUAUCAAUUCUUAACAGUUACUGUUAAGAAUUGGUGUUUAGUAGCCUAGCGUAAAUCAUUAACCAAUUAAUGUUCUAUUUGACCCGAGUAGCAGCCCUCACAGUUAAUGUUAGCUUGAUACUUUAAGCCUAUUUUAAGCUUUUGUCAAUUUUCACAAAAAAAGUGUUUUAUAGUUACUUUAUUACUUUAUAAUGCCAUGAGAUGGUGUAACUUGUUAAAUGCACACACAUGCCUUUGUGUCAUUAACAAUGUUGUGCUGCAAUGCCGUUAAAGAGCAGGUUAUCAAUCCAUCCACCACUCGUGUUUGUUGUAGCUCAGAAUGAUGCAAAGAAAGCCCUUCAUUACCAAACACCAACUAACUAACUAAAUUAGGACUAAAUUAGGAGUCAUAAGCAAACUGUUAGUUAAACAUUAAACUGUUAAUUACUUUAAAAUUAACCUUCAUCUGGGGGAACACAGGGAUGUGUAAAUAUUUGGUCCGGUUGCCUGUCAGAUUUAUCUAUGACUCACUAGGCAGAGGAAAGCGGUUGCUCUCAAACAUUGGUCACUUAAUCAACUAAGUCACUGUGAAGGGAUAGAUCAAAUAGGCCGAUAGAACGUUUGCAAAGUGAUUUCAUGGUACCUUAGUAAUAUAUUUGCUAUCUAAUUUUAAAAUACAUUUUGAUGUAUUUUUGCCCAUCCCUGCCUCUGGGCACCUCAGAGUUUAAGAAGUUAAAACAGGUUACACUUUGGCAACUAAGGCUUCACACUGAGAGACAAUUUUGUGCUUGUGAUUCACAACAAUUACAAACGAAUAAAUAUACAGCAAAUGAGAUACU